rnacentral:rRNA from 1 species
GAUGAACGCUGGCGGCGUGCCUAAUACAUGCAAGUCGAGCGAACAGACGAGGUGCUUGCUCCACUGACGUUAGCGGCGAACGGGUGAGUAACACGUGGAGAACCUACCUAUAAGACUGGGAUAACUUCGGGAAACCGAUGCUAAUACCGCAUAAAAUCUUUAAACGCAAGUUUCAAUAGUGAAAGACGCUAUUGCUGUCCCUUAUGGAUAUAUCCGCGCCGCAUAAGCUAGUUGGUAAGGUAACGGCUAACAAAGGCAACGAUCAGUAGCGAACCUGAGAGGGUGAUCGGCCACACUGGAACUGAGACACGGUCCAGACUCCUACGGGAGGAAGCAGUAGGGAAUCUUCCGCAAUGGGCGAAAGCCUGACGGAGCAACGCCGCGUGAGUGAUGAAGGUCUUCGGAUCGUAAAACUCUGUUAUUAGGGAAGAACAAAUGUGUAAGUAACUAUGCACGUCUUGACGGUACCUAAUCAGAAAGCCACGGCUAACUACGUG